rfam:Streptomyces turgidiscabies Car8 gcontig_1113219320925, whole genome shotgun sequence.
CUUGACCGAGCCGAGCCACAGCGGCGGCCGGUCCUCGGCCCGCCCCUGUCCGUAGGUGGCCAGCAGGGCGCUCGCCUC